rnacentral:rRNA from 1 species
UUAAUUGAAGAGUUUGAUCAUGGCUCAGAUUGAACGCUGGCGGCAGGCCUAACACAUGCAAGUCGAGCGGUAACAGGGGAAGCUUGCUUCUCGCUGACGAGCGGCGGACGGGUGAGUAAUGUAUGGGGAUCUGCCCGAUAGAGGGGGAUAACCACUGGAAACGGUGGCUAAUACCGCAUAAUCUCUUAGGAGCAAAGCAGGGGAACUUCGGUCCUUGCGCUAUCGGAUGAACCCAUAUGGGAUUAGCUAGUAGGUGGGGUAAUGGCUCACCUAGGCGACGAUCCCUAGCUGGUCUGAGAGGAUGAUCAGCCACACUGGGACUGAGACACGGCCC